rnacentral:lncRNA from 1 species
GGCCAACACUACACCAGGGCUUUACCCAUCCCCUAUCCCCCUGGAAGAGUUAAUCUACCAGCAUAUCACAGGUUAGCUCUUUUUAUUUUUGUGGGUUUUUUUCUCCCACUGCAAGUAAUAUGGGUCCAGGUGUGUAGCCUGGCUCUUUGUCACUCCUUCUGGGUAAUUCGCCUAAGCUUGCCAGUCGUCAUGAACAGGUUAGUCUGACUUUCAGUGAGCCAUUUUUGACUCAGUGAAUGGCUGUUUUGGUGUCUGCCAAAAUUAGGUGCCCCUCUCUUUCCUGAACUAGACUAUAUACUCUGAUACCUUUAUUGCAAUGUUACAGAAGUCUUAGGACACUCGUAGUGGACAGACAUAUUCCACUUCCCUUUUAAUUCCUGAGAAACACAGUCUGAGCUGUAUCUAGGCAAUAUCCACACUGCCUUGAGACUUUUUCCGAAAGUGGAAUUCAUCAGUCAUCCAGGAGGCUCUGAGCCUCGUGACUGGCAUGGCUUACCUAGUGGCUGUGGUAGACUUGUGCCUAUGGAGGUGUUUUGCUGAGGGCUUGUGAGAGCUAUUUGGCACCUUUUCCAGCAAAGUUGGGAGAGGAAGGCGGAAGAGAGGUUCUGUUCUCACCUAUUUUAAUACCCGAACCAGUUGGUGGUAGCACCGAAUUAGAACUCUUGCCUCAUUUAGCACACUAAUCAUCAAAUUUCUCUGUAUUUUCAAUAGAAGCAAAGCAUAAAUUCUCAAUAAAGAGGCACUUCAAAUAGGGAAUUUACAAACAUUACACAUUGUCUUUCGUGUUGCAGCUGUGAAACAUACCUUCUAGAGAAAAUCACACAGAUUGUUGUGUACUUUCUUAAGAAUUGCAGACUAGAGUCAUGAUUUGUUAGUCUCAUUUGCUUUUCACAAGAAAAAGCAUUACAUGAUGUCUGAGGGUCUCAGGUUCCAUAACGGGGACUUUCCCAAGGUCUUUCAUACGAAAGUUUCUGCGCAGCCCAUGGGAGAUUACACAGGGAGGCAGUCUGGAGACUCGCCAGGACUUAUUUUAGUCUAUUCUAAUUUGAAUCUUAUAUAGGCCUAUUAUUUAUACCUAUAUAUCAGUCCAGCUUACUGAAUGCCAACAAAUUUGAGACACAACUCCUGCCCUCAAGGAACUUGUGUGCUGGUAGAGAAAGCCAUGAAGCAGUCCUAGUAUACUGUGUGUGGUUAUAACAGCAUGCACCUGAGAAAUGGUCUGGAGGAGGAGAAGGACAAAGAAGGCUUCACGGAGGAGGUGAGGUCAGCCAUGUGCUGAAGCAAGCAGAGGAGUUUGCCAGGUGGCUAAGAAGGGAAUAUUAACCCAGGGGUGGGUGACGGUCCCCACCUUCUGGAUGAUUUACUAUAUAGUUACAUUUGCCCCUUAGCGUGACUUCUUUGACAGCUGUUGAUGGACAGCUCUGUGAGGACGAGAAGCACUCUUGUUGCCUCCUCCACAGGGUUUUGCAAGUUGUAGGUGCUCAAAUCCCCGAUGGGAAAUGAGAACCUUAGCCUACAAAAAAAAAAAAAAA